GUGCAAUGCACGGAAAAUAUUUUUACAUUUCUAAAUUUAUAUAAAAUUGAUAUCAACUCAAUAUCAUAUUUAUAAAUAUAAUAAAAAUAAACUUUAAUUAAUUAGAUAUAUUUUAUUUGAAUAUUGAAAAACGAAAAAAAAAUCGCAAUAAUAAAAAUUGAUAUUAUGUAAAGAAAAAAGAAUGAGUUAAAAAUAAAAAAUAAUUAAAAAAAAUAGAUUUAUUCAAAAAAAGAUGAGAGGAGAGAAUUUUUUAAAAUUUUAAUCUUUAAAUAAAUAUUACUCCCUCCGUCCACGAAACAAGUUCACACUUGCUUCAAAAUUUUUGUCCACGAAACAAGUUCACACUCUGCUUUUUGGACAUAUUUACCCUCCCUUACUUUUAAAAUUACAACACUUUUUACCAAUUGGACCCAC
rnacentral:lncRNA from 1 species